AGGGCACCUUAGAGGAUGUAGCGCAGCGGUUGUUUUAAGGGUGGAGUCUGAUGAGACUUCACAGGUAGGGUGGGUAUAGAAGGUGGCCAAUAACAUCUGGGCCUCCGUCUUCGAUAGACCCACACCCAUCUCCCUGAGCAGGGUCUGUUCGUGCAAAAGCGGUGUGGAAUUUAAAAAUUAAAAUAUGAAAGAAAAACCCAAAAAACGCCUAAAGUGCAGAAGAAAAAGGACGCCUAAUCCAAGCUGUGGGAUUGUGGGAUUUCAACGACAGGAAGCAAUACCACGACAGGGAAAAUCAGGAGAAUAGUUGAAGUGCUGGAGGAGAUCCACUAGAGAAUCCCAGUGGAAAGGUACAUGCCGAGUGGGACUUCGCCCGAUCUCCGACGAGCUUCCAUUGAGGAAGCACCGAACUCCACCUCCAACAGCUACUUGGCAGCUAAAGCGGAGAUGGAGGACGCGCCAGCUUCUAUAGGGAGGAGGAAAUAAGGUCGCCCGCUGAGGGACAACUGGAGGAGCCAUCACCAGCCGUUACCAGGAUGCUGGGCGACUUCGAGCAGCAUCAGGCGGAACAACCCCGUUUCCAAUCCGGCUCCCACUUCCUCAAGGUCCAGUUUGCCUAUUGGAAUUCGGAGCUGGACUGCAGAUGGAAAGAUGAGACGAGAAAAAAGCUUAAAACUACUAAUUUACUUUAAAAAAACAUUUGUUGAACAUUCCAUUUAA